AGCAGCCGCGGUAAUUCCAGCUCCAAUAGCGUAUAUUAAAGUUGUUGCAGUUAAAAAGCUCGUAGUUGAAUUUCGGGAUUGACACAUCGGUCGUGCCUUAAGGGGUAUGAACUGGUGUAGUCAAUUUCUCACCUUCUGGAGAACCGCGAUGCCCUUAAUUGGGUGUCGCGGGGAACCAGGACCUUUACUUUGAAAAAUUAGAGUGUUUAAAGCAGGCAUUUUGCUUGAAUACAUUAGCAUGGAAUAAUAAAAUAGGACGGAUGAUUCUAUUUUGUUGGUUUCUAGGACCACCGUAAUGAUUAAUAGGGGUAGUUGGGGGCAUUAGUAUUCAAUUGUCAGAGGUGAAAUUCUUGGAUUUAUUGAAGACUAACUACUGCGAAAGCAUUUGCCAAGGAUGUUUUCAUUAAUCAAGAACGAAAGUUAGGGGAUCGAAGACGAUCAGAUACCGUCGUAGUCUUAACCAUAAACUAUGCCGACUAGGAAUCAGACGAUGUAAUUUUUUAAUGUACUCGUUUGGCAC
rnacentral:rRNA from 1 species